UUGUAUAAAGAAAUGAUCUUUUUUUGUUUGUUUUGCAAAAGUCUCAAAUAAAUGGUCCAUAAAGUUUUUCUGCUCAAAUAUUCUGCUUUACUCCUCCUUUUCCUUCUGCUUCCUUUUCCCUUCACUCCCUUCUCCAUGAAUGGCAUAAAGUCAAGAAGGGUGGGGGGAAUAGCUACAGUGUUCUCCUCCUUGCCAAAUUCUUUAUCUCCUACUCCUCCUCCUCUUUUUCCAACAGGGGCUUAGACGAUAACUGGUUUCUUCGCUGGUCCUCUUUUCUCCGAUCUCAUCUUCUCUACAAUCAUGGGGGUGAUGAACAGAAUUCCCCUGCAGUGGCCCUCCUUCCUAUGCGUGGCAUGUUGGGUGCUGGCAGUUUCGAAUAUGGCGGAUUCUGCAAUGACGAUUUCCGAUCAAACAACAUACAAUUCGCCAUCGACAUGCCAAUACCCUUGCCUCCCUCCGCCAGCGUCCGUGAUAAACUGCCCGCCACCACCGUCGCCGCCUUCAAGAAUCAAUGGAAAUUUCUACCGUUUCAGAAACUGCUAGUCCUUCGUUGUUUGCUUGUUCUAUUAUAGAAGGAUAUGGAACAGGGACAUUCUGAAAGAGGCAUGAGUCCCUUCCUUUUUUUCUUAUCUUUUGAGUUGUGGGGUUUUUUCAAGGCUUUUGUAGGAACUGAAUCAAUUGAUUACUCUGUCAAUAUUGGGCAUCUGUCGUUUGCCGCCCAAAAAAAUAU